rnacentral:misc_RNA from 1 species
AACGCACAUUGCGCCCCUUGGUAUUCCAUGGGGCAUGCCUGUUCGAGCGUCAUUUGAUACCUCAAGCUUUGCUUGGUGUUGGGUGUUUGUCCUGCCCAGGGACUCGCCUUAAAGCAAUUGGCAGCCAACGUACCGGUCGUGGAGCGCAGCACAAUCUUGCAAUCCCGCCAGCGUGUUGGCAUCCAUGAAGCCUAUUUUCACAGUUUGACCUCGGAUCAGGUAGGGAUACCCGCUGAACUUAA